rnacentral:tRNA from 1 species
GAGGGGGAAAAAAGUGAUUGCUAAUCACUAAAAUCAGGGUUAAACACCUGACCCCCUCA